rnacentral:lncRNA from 1 species
CUGAGCUUCACACCUUGGGUCAGAUGUGUGUUGUCAGCUGAGAAACUGAGCUGCAUUCUUGAGCAUGAGCCAGACGCCUUGACAGAUGGGGUUAUUCUUUUCUGCUUGACCUCGAGUUACAGAGAGGCAGAUGAAGUCAAAGAGGAUACCAGAUGCAGCCAGUCUGCUGAGGAGGCACGUACGUCUGAGCGGGCCCAGCACAGCUGUUCUCCAGGGCAAGGCUUGGCCAUGGCAGCUGCCCCAGCGCCCGCAUUCAGCCCAACCCACCAGGUCACCCCAGUCCAGUCCGUGGUGCUCAGAUCCCCAAGCAAUCACAGGUCAGAGGCGGAAAGAACUACGUGAAUGUGUACAGUGAUAUUGGGCACAUGCUCUGAAGGAAGGGAAACCGAAGAACGUCAAGGGGCAGCGUUCAGAGGAGGGGAAAGACUGCAGAGUCUGGGUGUGAUCCCUACCUGGACUCUCUUAGAAGCUCCACUAUCCUCUUCUCCAAUGAUCUGUCUUCCCAUUCCAGAAUUUCUUACCUUAACCUACUCAGCCUGAGUUAAAUAAGCAUCUGCAUGCAGAAAUAAAUAAGUGGGGGAAUUUGUACUUUUCUGCA